rnacentral:tRNA from 1 species
GGUAGCGUGGCCGAGCGGUCUAAGGCGCUGGUUUAAGCCUGGCACCAGUCUCUUCGGGGGAGUGGGUUCGAAUCCCACCGCUGCCA